GGGACCCGCACAAGCAGCGGAGCAUGUGGUUUAAUUCGAAGCAACGCGAAGAACCUUACCAGGUCUUGACAUCCCUCUGAAUGGCGCUUAGCAGCGCAGGUCUUUCGGGACAGAGGAGACAGGUGGUGCAUGGUUGUCGUCAGCUCGUGUCGUGAGAUGUUGGGUUAAGUCCCGCAACGAGCGCAACCCUUGCCUUUAGUUGCCAGCACGUAAAGGUGGGCACUCUAGAGGGACUGCCGGUGACAAACCGGAGGAAGGUGGGGAUGACGUCAAAUCAUCAUGCCCCUUAUGAUCUGGGCUACACACGUGCUACAAUGGCCGGUACAACGAGAAGCGAAACCGCGAGGUGAAGCAAAUCUUUUAAAGCCGGUCCCAGUUCGGAUUGCAGGCUGAAACUCGCCUGCAUGAAGUUGGAGUUGCUAGUAAUCGCGGAUCAGCAUGCCGUGGUGAAUGCGUUCCCGGGUCUU
rnacentral:rRNA from 1 species